rnacentral:lncRNA from 1 species
UUCUCUAGUGGCAUCUCUCAUGAAAGCAACACACGAUGGGUAAAUAAAUUACUGUUGGACAAUUGACAAAAAAGAGGAUAGAUAUGUGAUUUUCACGGCAAUGAUCAUGUGUAUAUAGGCAUCAAGUCCAUAAGGCAAAUAGGCCGACUCCCUCCUGAACCUACUACUAUUACUCCACUUCAAGAGCGCUUCUAUGCUUGCCUCUCUAUGUAUUAAGUUCAUGACAAACAGAGUAAUGCUUGGAGAACAAUGGCAUGAUCUAGACAAAUUAAAGCAAAUAUGCGAUGAUCAUUGUAUUGAAGAUUAAGAGAGAGAGAGAGAGAGAGAGAGAUCUAGUUAUUAACUAUGGGCCCGUAGGUCUGUGUUGAACUACUCACACAUCAUCAUGAGGGCAGCAAGGUUGAUGAAGAGGCCCUCCGUGAUAGAUCCCCCAUCCGGCAGGGUGCCGGAAUGGAGCUCCAGAUGGGAUCAUCGUGGAACAGAGACUUGCGGUGGCGAAAGAGUAUUUUGCGAUCUUCCUUAGGGUUUUUGGAAUACAUGUAAAUUUAUAGGCCAGAUCACGAAGGUAGAGGGGCCACCAAGGAGGGCUAAGCCAUCAGGGCGCACCGACCCCCCCUCCCCCCGGUCGCGCCCUGUUGGCUUGUAACUCCCUCGUUUGGCCUGUGUCUUAUAUUGAGGUUUCAAGGUUUUCUUUUGGUAAAAAAAUCAUAAAAAAGUUUGAGAGCAAUUGAACUCCGUUUGAUACAGUAAACCUGAAAAGUAAAAAACACGCAGAAAAUAGCAACUCGCACUUGGCACUAGGUCAAUAGGUUAGUUCUCAAAAAUAAUAUAAAUUGGUAAAUUAUUAUCAAAAAGUAUCCUAGAAUGAUAAUAUAAUAGCACGGAACAAUAAAAAAUUAUAGAUAUGUUGGAGACAUAUUAACCCUUCGGAUACAAAGGUUCCUAAGUAAUUCGACCACAUCUAGUCAUUACUCUAACAUCGUGAUCGUUAUUUUUAUUAGUCAUCUCCCUAAUUAAAUAAUUUUCUGAUUUGGAAACUUAUUCAAGGUGAGUGUGAGCCAUAUACUAAUGUUUACAUAAGCCCUUAAUAUCAUUAGAAAUUCUAACAAGUACAUCACUCAAACAUUUAAUCAUAAUAGAAUCAUGUUUCAAUUGAUCACUUAUUUGCAUAUUGAAAUUUUCUUGUUUAACAAUGAAGUUGUUAAAUUAAUCUAAACAUUGACUUGCAAAUUUAUUAUAAGGAAUGUCAACCUCAUCAACAUAUAAAGAAAAU